rnacentral:rRNA from 1 species
AGGCAGGUACCAAUGCUUACACAUGCAGUCGAUUCAAGUUACCUUCGGGUAAUGAGGAUGGCGGACGGGUGAGUAACGCGUAAGGAACUUGCCUCUUGGACUGGGACAACUGUUGGAAACGACAGCUAAUACCGGAUAUUAUGAGAUUCUCGCAUGAGAAACUUAUGAAAGCUAUAUGCGCCAAGAGAGAGCCUUGCGUUCCAUUAGCUAGUUGGUGGGGUAACGGCCCACCAAGGCGACGAUGGAUAGCCGGCCUGAGAGGGUGAACGGCCACAAGGGGACUGAGACACGGCCCUUACUCCUACGGGAGGCAGCAGUGGGGAAUAUUGGACAAUGGGCCACAAGCCUGAUCCAGCAAUUCUGUGUGCACGAUGAAGGUCUUCGGAUUGUAAAGUGCUUUCAGUUGGGAAGAAGAAAGUGACGGUACCAACAGAAGAAGCGACGGCUAAAUACGUGCCAGCAGCCGCGGUAAUACGUAUGUCGCAAGCGUUAUCCGGAUUUAUUGGGCGUAAAGCGCGUCUAGGCGGAAAAAUAAGUCUGAUGUUAAAAUGCGGGGCUCAACUCCGUAUUGCGUUGGAAACUGUUUUUCUAGAGUACUGGAGAGGUGGGCGGAACUACAAGUGUAGAGGUGAAAUUCGUAGAUAUUUGUAGGAAUGCCGAUGGAGAAGUCAGCUCACUGGACAGAUACUGACGCUGAAGCGCGAAAGCGUGGGGAGCAAACAGGAUUAGAUACCCUGGUAGUCCACGCCGUAAACGAUGAUCACUAGGUGCUGGGGGGUCGAACCUCAGCGCCCAAGCUAACGCGAUAAGUGAUCCGCCUGGGGAGUACGCACGCAAGUGUGAAACUCAAAGGGAAUUGACGGGGACCCGCACAAGCGGUGGAGCAUGUGGGUUUAAUUCGACGGCAACGGCGGAGAAACCUUACCAGCGUUUUGACAUCCUAAGAAGUUUUCCAGAGAUGGGAUUCGUGCCGGCUUGGCCGGGACUUAGUGACAG